rnacentral:lncRNA from 1 species
GGUUGCGAUCAUACCAGCACUAAUGCACCGGAUCCUAUCAGAACUCCGCAGUUAAGCGUGCUUGGGCGAGAGUAGUAGUAGGAUGGGAGACCCCCUGGGAAGUUCUCGUGUUGCAACCCCCUUUUUUUCGUUUUUUGGUUUAUUUUAUUUACUAGUCGCUGUAUCUUUGGCAUAGCAUGCGAGCAGCCGAUUUUGUGAAAGGAAGGCAUUACGAAGGCGCGCGCGUGACAUAGGCCACACAUGAGGUCAUAGGUGCGAAUGGGAUCAAGGCGUAGAAAGGUAUAAAGGAAUAAGGAGAAGGUAUUCUUUCGGUUGCGAUCAUACCAGCACUAAUGCAUCGGAUCCCAUCAGAACUCCCCAGUUAAGCGUGCUUGGGCGAGAGUAGUACUAGGAUGGGUGACCCCCAGGGAAGUCCUCGUGUUGCAACCC